rnacentral:rRNA from 1 species
GACGGAGGAUGCAAGCGUUAUCCGGAAUGAUUGGGCGUAAAGCGUCCGCAGGUGGCAGUUCAAGUCUGCUGUCAAAGACCGGGGCUCAACCUCGGAAAGGCAGUGGAAACUGAACAGCUAGAGUAUGGUAGGGGCAGAGGGAAUUCCUGGUGUAGCGGUGAAAUGCGUAGAGAUCAGGAAGAACAUCGGUGGCGAAGGCGACUCACUGGACAAGCAUUGACGCUGAGGUACGAAAGCGUGGGGAGCAAACAGG